rnacentral:snRNA from 1 species
GGAUGUAAGGAUGAUCUAGCUGUGACAUGUCACCCCAUUGAUCCCCAGGGUUGAUUCAACUGAUCUGGCUGGCAAGCUGGGUGUCCCCUUCCUUCCUCAUCGCUCCAUGCACAUCCCUCCCGAAGCUGCACGCUCAGUCAAAGAAGACGACCUUCCCCGAAUAGAGGAGGACCAGUCUUCCGUCAAGGGUAUACGAGUAGCUGUGCUCCCGUGUAGAACCUCCAAACAAGCUCUCAAGGUCCAUGGGUAUUCUUCUUCUAAGAGACUACAUUCAGAAAGAAAAAGAUGAAAGGGUUAGUUAAAGAAUUUAUAAGUCAUAAAAAUUUUGAAAAU